rnacentral:sRNA from 1 species
ACACUGGAUGACCUGCUGUGUGACCAGCUGAACGUCUGUGGAACCGUCCCAACUGGAGAUGUGAAACGGUCAUUCUCCAUCCACUCACCUGGUUUCCUGCCACAGAGAUAGAAGGCUAGUCUGUCCGUUAGCUCAUACUGUAUUUCCACGAGGCGCUCUGCCAGCUCAUGGUGCCCUCCUUGCCUACCAAGAGAAAACAAAGUACCAUUUAUAUUGCUCACUAUUCACUGACUUUAAAAUGGAGUACAAAGACGUCUCCUGAGACACCUGAGCAGUUUAUCACAAAAGACUUUUGAGAAUCAUCAACCUUCUUGUGGAUGAAAGAAGUUGGCUUGUGCUCCUAAAGAUAACAGUCUCAAACAGGUUUCAAGAUUCCCUGUUCUCACGCUCGAAUGGAGUUGCUGAAAAACGCAGAAACAAAAAAGGAAUCGUGGUUAGAUGUGUAAAGAAUGAUGUCCUAGGGCAGCUGAUAGACCAUUUUAAUAUAUGUUACAUCAGUAACGCAUAAUCUUUAUUUGUCUCGGUAAAGUGCAUGGACCAGUCUCUCC